rnacentral:rRNA from 1 species
ACUGCUCAGUAACACGUGGCUAAUCUGCCCUUAGGACGAGAACAACCCCGGGAAACUGGGGCUAACUCUUGAUAGGUGAAGAACUCUGGAAUGAGUCUUUGCCUAAAUAGAUUCACGUUAUCCUCGUGAAUUUGCCUAAGGAUGAGGCCGCGACCGAUCAGGUUGUUGGCGAGGUAAUGGCUCACCAAGCCUUUUACCGGUGCGGGCCGUGGGAGCGGGAGCCCGGAGAUGGGUACUGAGACAAGGACCCAGGCCCUACGGGGCGCAGCAGUCGCGAAACCUUUGCAAUAAGCGCAAGCUUGACAGGGCUAUCCCGAGUGCCAUCCGCUGAGGAAGGCUUUUACCCAGUCUAGAACGCUGGGGGAAUAAGGAGAGGGCAAGUCUGGUGUCAGCCGCCGCGGUAAUACCAGCUCUCCGAGUGGUGUGGAUGGUUUAUUGGGCCUAAAGCAUCCGUAGCUGGCUAGGUAAGUCCCUUGUUAAAUCCACCGAAUUAAUCGUUGGAUCGCGGGGGAUACUGCUUGGCUAGGGGACGAGAGAGGCAGACGGUAUUUUCGGGGGAGGGGGGUGAAAUCCUAUAAUCCCGGGAAGACCACCAGUGGUGAAGGCUGUCUGCUAGAACGCGCCCGACGGUGAAGGAUUGAAAGCUGGGGGAGCGAACCGGAUUAGAUACCCGGGUAGUCCCAGCUGUAAACGAUGCAGACUAAGUUGUUUGGACGGCCACGUGCCGUUCUAGUGCCGCAGGGAAGCUGUUAAGUCUGCCGCCUGGGGAGUACGAUCGCAAGAUUGAAACUUAAGGAAUGGCGGGGGGGAG